UGGGGAAUAUUGGACAAUGGGCGCAAGCCUGAUCCAGCCAUGCCGCGUGCAGGAUGACGGUCCUAUGGAUUGUAAACUGCUUUUUGUACAGGAAGAAACAGUUCUACGUGUAGAACCUUGACGGUACUGUAAGAAUAAGGAUCGGCUAACUCCGUGCCAGCAGCCGCGGUAAUACGGAGGAUCCAAGCGUUAUCCGGAAUCAUUGGGUUUAAAGGGUCCGUAGGCGGUUAGAUAAGUCAGUGGUGAAAGCCCAUCGCUCAACGGUGGAACGGCCAUUGAUACUGUCUGACUUGAAUUAUUAGGAAGUAACUAGAAUAUGUAGUGUAGCGGUGAAAUGCUUAGAGAUUACAUGGAAUACCAAUUGCGAAGGCAGGUUACUACUAAUGGAUUGACGCUGAUGGACGAAAGCGUGGGGAGCAAACGGGAUUAGAUACCCUUGUAGUCCCUGAGCGGGCUGGCAAGGCGCAU
rnacentral:rRNA from 1 species